GAGUUUGAUCAUGGCUCAGGAUGAACGCUGGCGGCGUGCUUAACACAUGCAAGUCGAACGAUGACCCCGUGCUUGCACGGGUGAUUAGUAGCGAACGGGUGAGUAACACGUGAGUAACCUGCCCCUGACUCUGGGAUAAGCCCGGGAAACUGGGUCUAAUACCGGAUAUGACUGCUGGCCGCAUGGCCUGGUGGUGGAAAGAAUUUCGGUUGGGGAUGGACUCGCGGCCUAUCAGCUUGUUGGUGAGGUAGUGGCUCACCAAGGCGACGACGGGUAGCCGGCCUGAGAGGGUGACCGGCCACACUGGGACUGAGACACGGCCCAGACUCCUACGGGAGGCAGCAGUGGGGAAUAUUGCACAAUGGGCGCAAGCCUGAUGCAGCGACGCCGCGUGAGGGAUGACGGCCUUCGGGUUGUAAACCUCUCUCAGUAGGGAAGAAGCGAAAGUGACGGUACCUGCAGAAGAAGCGCCGGCUAACUACGUGCCAGCAGCCGCGGUAAUACGUAGGGCGCAAGCGUUAUCCGGAUUUAUUGGGCCGUAAAGAGCUCGUAGGCGGUUUGUCGCGUCUGCCGUGAAAAGUCCGGGGCUUAACCUCGGAAUCUGCGGUGGGUACGGGCCAGACUAGAGUGAUGUAAGGGAAGACUGGAAUUUCCUGGUGUAGCGGUGAAAUGCGUAAAUUUCAGGAGGAACACCCGAUUGCCAAAGGCAGGUUUCUGGGGCAUUUACUGACCUUGAAGAACCGAAACCUGGGGAAGCAACCAGAAUUAAAUAACCCUGGUUAGUCCAUGCCGUAAACGUUGGGCACUAGGUGUGGGGAACAUUCCACGUUUUCCGCGCCGUAGCUAACGCAUUAAGUGCCCCGCCUGGGGAGUACGGCCGCAAGGCUAAAACUCAAAGGAAUUGACGGGGGCCCGCACAAGCGGCGGAGCAUGCGGAUUAAUUCGAUGCAACGCGAAGAACCUUACCAAGGCUUGACAUGGACUGGAUCGCCGCAGAGAUGUGGUUUCCCUUCGGGGCUGGUUCACAGGUGGUGCAUGGUUGUCGUCAGCUCGUGUCGUGAGAUGUUGGGUUAAGUCCCGCAACGAGCGCAACCCUCGUUCCAUGUUGCCAGCGGGUUAUGCCGGGGACUCAUGGGAGACUGCCGGGGUCAACUCGGAGGAAGGUGAGGACGACGUCAAAUCAUCAUGCCCCUUAUGUCUUGGGCUUCACGCAUGCUACAAUGGCCGGUACAAAGGGCUGCAAUACUGUGAGGUGGAGCUAAUCCCAAAAAGCCGGUCUCAGUUCGGAUUGGGGUCUGCAACUCGACCCCAUGAAGUCGGAGUCGCUAGUAAUCGCAGAUCAGCAACGCUGCGGUGAAUACGUUCCCGGGCCUUGUACACACCGCCCGUCAAGUCAUGAAAGUUGGUAACACCCGAAGCCGGUGGCCUAACCCCUUGUGGGAGGGAGCCGUCGAAGGUGGGACUGGCGAUUAGGACUAAGUCGUAACAAGGUAGCCGUA
rnacentral:rRNA from 1 species